GGAUCGAUGAUGACACCCUCACAUGCAUUCUUGGAAAAUCUGAACAAAAUGAGUGAGAACUCACUACCGUCUCCUCAUCGAAACUGAGGUCC
rnacentral:snoRNA from 2 species